UUAUGGCAGGCUUCGCAAAAGAGCCUCUGCUGAGGUGUUCUCUGUGCUGAGUACUCUUCUCCGUCAGCGGGUGUAGGAAGCGGACCUGCCCUGGUGGGGGUAGGUCUGUCUGAUCCUUUAUCUACGUGCUUGCCUCGUCGUUUGGCUCUGUGGAGCCUGUUCACCCCCACAGGCACCUCUGGCCACCACACCAUGGGUGUGUUGCCAGCUCUGUGUGGAGCUUUCUUGUCUGUGGUUAAAGCUGGUCCUCUGAGAGCUUUGGUCUCUGUGGCUGGUGCUGAGGUAAGUGGUGAAUGAGCUGUCACACAAUCUGUCCCUCCAUCACAUUCCCCUCAGGCCUCUCCUGUCCUGUACUAAUGUGGUUGAACGGCUCUGCCUCCAGAAGAGGGCACUGCUUCAGCGUGUUUGUUCCGUAACCGUGCAGAGGCUGUACAAGAUGGACCUAAUGCUCUCAUGUACUAUUGUGCAUUUCCCAAACGAGCUGUAGAAUUUCAAGAAUGAGUCUAACAGUACAUUUGACAGUGAUAAAUUGCACUGUGUAAUUAGGAGCUUUCUGAUUAACUAACACCAACUACAGUGAAGGAAUCAAAAAUGUCUUCAAUUUGAAGUUAAUAGGCUCCUAACAUGAUAUUUGCCAAUAAGCCAUCUGAAUGCUGGCUGACAUAUAGGACAGGUGGCAAAAAAACCAUGCCUUGUGCUCAUCACCAUGUCCCCCUGUUCAUGCCUGCACAGAAGUGCUGCUGUUACAGUACCAAAACCCCUCAGGGAGAAGACUCUCACAAACAAGGGAUUUAGGCUUUAUCUUGAAAAAACCCUGUGCUAUGCCAGAGCGCCAUGGAGCAUUGCAGUCCUCCCUGUGUUAUCGCAAUGAGGCCCAUGCUGCUCAGAUUUCCCUGGCUGAAGGCUUCUCAGUAAAAACUUUCCAGAUGCCUGGAAGAUGUUCUGCGGCGCUGUCUGUCCUUCCCCUCUCAAAUCCUGCAGAUGGUGCUGUUACCACAGGAUGGUAUUCUGAACAUGCAACAAAACCGGGUGGCUAAAAGGUGUUCCAUGUGUGGUCCUCUUGUCACGGAAAGAUCUUUGUUAGACCUGAGGUUUUGUUGGUUUGGGUCUUCUUCCCCUCACGACCCUUUUUUUUUUUUUUUCCUGAACUCCAUAAAGAUAGAGGGCUUUUACUCUCAAAAACACCUAAAAGAAAAAUAACUUAUUUAGAAGUGCAGUUGUGCCUCUAGUCUGCCUCUAGUCAUGAGCCUUUCCAUUAUAUCUAUAGCUUUAGGGAUCAUUCUGACUUACUAGUCAAGCAGUAUCCUUACCAUACUUGGCUUGUUUCUUGGUUACUUCUCUGUUGCAGAGGAGACAUGAAACCCAGGCCUUGACUAUUUGUAGGUACGACAAACCCUGUGGGAUGUUUUGUGAUAGGGGGCCACUUUCCAUGAAAGUCAACUAGAAUGUGCUGGGUAAAAUUCUUCUCCCAGUUUCAAUGCGUAUGAAAUCUUCACUUCCUGUUCCAAACAGCACUGUAUCUCUGACUUUAUCCUCUGUGCUAAGGCAUCUGCUAGAUACAAUAUCUCAAUGGUACUGUCAGUUAAUUAGAACAGUUACUGUUUUAAUAACAAAUUACCCAUUGUAGUUACAACUUACAGCUUAAUGCACUUGACCUGUCAGAAGAGAGGUGUUGGACAACCUCACCAAAAUGGAAGGGAGCUUUACUUUGUGUUUUGGUGUGCAGGUCACAAAACCUUCCUAGGAUACAACCAUUUUUGCUCUACUGCCCUAAGUUUCAUAAGGACUUGAAUUCAAACUUCUCCCAGGGAAGCCGAAAUUGCAGAAGUAUAGAACCACUAAGAGUUUGUGGGGACUAGAAAUAUCUGUAGUGUGCUAAAUUACAUCUCUUAAGCUUCCAAGACAUCCUCUCCCUGUUAAAGCUGAUAUUAGCCUAAGUGUCCCAUUUACUCCAGAUGCCACUGCAUGCCCAAGGCAAUGGUGCAGAUCAGCAGUCUCUGUUGAUGCACAGUUUAGUGGAGUGGUGUUACGUGCUGCAUGAUGAAUCUGCAGCCCCUAGUAGGGGUAAGAUGAGAGAGGCUCCUGCAGUUCACAUUCAUGAAACAUGGAAGAAAGAAGAGGCUCCCUGGGGACUUUCAUGGUAUCUCUCAAAGACAAUGGUGGUUAACUUGUUAUCUCCCUAGUGGGAUUGGUUAUCAUGUUGUCUACUCAGUCAAAACCCUCUAAUAAGUGUCAGGCAUUAGAUUCUAAUUAGAUACCUGCAUGAAUCUGUUGUCUGUUUAUGUUUUUAUGUGACAUAUAAGCUUCAGUGGAUGGAGAAACCUCCCUUUGAUGUCAGAAUGUUUCCCAUCAUAGUGGGUAAAGGCUUCACAGGGACAUAACACAUUUUCCAGACUUAAGCCAGGCAUGAAAACAUUAUCUCUUGACAGGUUUGGGCCAGCCCCAAGAGCUGCUACCUUCAUUCUUGUGAGGGUUAAUGAAUCCUGACGAUUAUAUGUGUGUGUGUGUGAGGUAGAGGUCUGAACUGGAAUUCACCCAAAAGCAGAGAGCAAGAGGGGUCCCCAAAGCCAGUCUUUCUGCAUAGGCAGCCCCAGAAUAUACAGCUUGUGUGAAAACUUUUACAUUUUCACACUACCAGCAAGGUGGUGAUGGCUCUGUCUAUUACUCAGCUGAACUGUUAAUGUCUGGGGAGAGUGUAAAGCUCAGUGAAGUGCCACUCUGAAUGAUUCUCCUCCUCAUCUUUAGAAGCCUUUGUGAACUUUUGAAAUUUGUGAUUAUUUUUAUUACUUUUUCUUUAAUAUGGUUUCAGGUAAAUGUGAUACUAAAGUAAAUGCCUGAAACCA